UGUCCAGUAGCACCUUAGAGACCAACUAAGUUUGUUCUGGGUAUGCACACUUCUUCAGAUGGUCUCUAAGGUGCUACUGGACA